CUGCUGUCUGCAGAUCAAGAUGUAGAACUCUCAGCUCCUUCUCCAGCACCGUGUCCGCCUGCACGCCACCGUGUCCCGCCAUGAUUAUGAACUAAACCUCCAGAACUGGCAGGCCAGCCACAGCAGAGCAGAAAAACGUUUCCCCUGGGUUCCAGAUCCUCAUACAGCCUGGCGUCGGAGCUGGUGAAGGCCAGAGGUCUGCCGAGCUCGGUCCUGCAUCCCAUCCGACUUACCUAGUGGUUGUGAAGACGGGAAGGUGGGUGGAAGCUGGAAGUAGACAGUUCUUAAAGGGACAAAGACAACCGGAGGUAAUGUGGACUCUUGACCUGCAACCUCCCGUCUCUCCGCCGUCACGCUGUCCGACUCAGCCAAGGUCAAGCUGUCUGCAGGAGUCAGAGAACUUCCCAGGGAGAUGAGACAAUCACACAAAUCUCCUCAACACAGGUAUUCUGUGGCACGGGCUCCUUCAGAUGGACGGAAACACAGACCUGAAGACGGACCGAAACAGGAUGAUCUAGUACUGGGCAGGAUGAAGCAUGGAGAGUCAGGGAGAAAGAUGCUAAGACAAGAGGGUACUGAGUAAGGGGGGCCGCAAAUGAACCCCUUCCAAUUCCUCUCUGUGGUGUAUCUACAGGGAAGAAGAUGCUCCUCCCCCAGGGUGAGGGUGCCGCUCUUAGAAGCAUCUGUGACAUUUCCAAGAGAAGCUCACAGGGAUCCUCCUGACCUCCCAUCCCUCCAGUAGUCGAGAUCUUCUAAUGUCUGCCUCCUGAGUUGCUGGGGUUGAAGGCGCAUGCCACUGUACCUGGCUGGAUGAAGUAACCUCAAACGCCAUCCGUAUUCAGGUCGACCUGCAGUCUCCAGUGAACAGCGUGACAGCUGGACUGCAUCCAGCAAUCAAAAUACCAGAAAAAAAAAAAUCUCUGUCCCGUAUGUUUCACCCUUGCCCGACUUACCCGCCGGAGAAUAAACACCGUCAUCGCUGGUGGCUGUUAAGGCAGUGGAGCUCAGAGGAAGCGGCUUCACCUAUGCACCCUGUGGCCCGCAGGCCGGGGUCCCAGCAGGGAGCCCAGAGGACAGGGCUGGAGAGGACAGAGGAACUGCAGAAAUCGGCUGCUGUGGAUGGAAGCCGUCUGUCCUUCCUCGGAGCCCAGGCUGGUGGUACCUGAGGGUAACGGGCUUUCAGGAAGUGGAGCCUAGUGGGAGGACUUGGCUCAUCCCUGCAAGGGAUUAUGGACACUUCUCCCUCCCUCCCUGCCUCCCUCUCCUCCCUGGCUCUAAGCAUACUCUUUCCUUUGUAUGUACGUGCUCCUCCCAUCGUAAUGUAAGACGGCACGGAGGGGUCCUCGCCAGAGCAUAGGCCCAGCGGCUUGCACUUUGGACUUCUGUAUGGUACUUUCCAGUGGAGUAGAGUAUUCUAAGAUGAGGAAAGCCAAGCUGCUGCAUCUGGCCAGCCGCACCUUCCCUCAGACGCGUCUCACAGAACUGUUGUAUAGGUCGACCUUCCAGCCGAACAGCAGCCACCUGCUGGGUCCGCCUGCAAACAUCCUCUCAGCCGGGCGUGUUGCUGGUGACAUCCCCUCGUAGAAGGAGGGCAGGGGAGGGUACCGGGACCUUCGGUUUCCUAGUCAGUCCCUCUGUCCUACCAGCUGUCAGCAAUUCUGCCAUGAUGACACCUGGCCUCCGGGAGGGGCUACAAGAAAUAGUUUUGGGGGUGGUUGAGGGAGAGCGCUCCAGCUGUGUGGAUGUGGGAACGCCAUCAUCCAGCUGGGUAAAGACUUUCUUUCCAGUGCAGCCUUUGGUGUGGGGUCGGGAGUGGGGCAUGACACCCACACCUCUGUAGGUAACCCCUCUGUAAGGAAGCCCAAUAAACACAUCGAUUCCCCCAGAGUGAACUUGGAUGGCCUCACACUCCGUCUGCUGUGGAGACCUCAAAGGGAAGGGUAAACCGUGUCUGCAUCUCCCCCAGGGAAGGGGUUUCAGCAACAGCCACUGUCAAAAUGUGCAUCGAUUAGAUGGAUUAGAUUCCAACUAAACGAAGCCCUGGCCAAUAGAGAAUUCCAGAAGAGCCAGUCCCAUCCUACUGUAGAGCAGUCACAAACUGCCCCCCAGACUUCCCACUUACUACAGAAGGUCCCAAGACUCAGACAGGCGGCAGAGUGGAGCUGUGCAUCGUAUUGAUAUGUAUCACGGAGGACUGUAGACUCUGCACCAGGCACUUUCCAGCGGCUUUGCACUCCGUCGCGGCAGUUCAAAGAGUCUGUGUUUUACAGAUGCGCAGGGAAGAAGAUCAAGCUCUCCGAAAGGAAAAGUCGUGUUUGAAACCGUCCACACAGCGCUAACAGCAGAGGAGUGGCGGAGCGAGCGAAUUUAUUUCUAUAUUGCUGACAACAUGUUUAUGACCCAAAGAUGCAGAAUAGAAAUGGAUCCACUUCAAAGCCAUGCACACAGGCUCUCUCUCUCUCUCUCUCUCUCUCUCUCUCUCUCUCUCUCUCUCUCUCUCUCUCUCUCUCUGUCUCUCAGAACACAGGAAGAUGGCGAACAGUUUGGGAGUUGGAGUGCAAUGAAGUUUUUAACCCCUCAAAUUGUCUUCUCUUAAAUUUUAAUCUCUUAAAUUCUCUUCAGAAUAUUGCUUUCACAAUUAACAAAAUGGAGAGGUGAGGAAAUUCUGUUAUCCCACGGUGCCAUUUUAGUUGAGGGUUGUGAUAAAUAAAUGAU